GGGGCCGUAGCUCAGUCGGGAGAGCGCUUGAAUGGCAUUCAAGAGGUCAGGGGUUCGAUUCCCCUCGGCUCCA
rnacentral:tRNA from 3 species